GACAGAGGGUGCAAACGUUGUUCGGAAUUACUGGGCGUAAAGAGUGUGUAGGCGGUGCUCUAAGUCUGGUGUGAAAUCUCCCGGCUUAACCGGGAGGGUGCGGCGGAAACUGGAGUGCUUGAGGGUGGGAGAGGUAAGCGGAAUUCCUGGUGUAGCGGUGAAAUGCGUAGAUAUCAGGAGGAACACCUAUGGUGUAGACAGCUUACUGGACCAUUUCUGACGCUGAGACACGAAAGCGUGGGUAGCAAACAGG
rnacentral:rRNA from 1 species